rnacentral:tRNA from 1 species
GCAUUGGUGGGUCAGGGGUAGAAUUUUCACCUUCCAUGGGGAAGACCCAGGUUCCAUUCCUGACCAGUGCA